rnacentral:snRNA from 1 species
AUCGCUUCUCGGCCUUUUGGCUAAGAUCAAGUGUAGUAUCUGUUCUUAUCAGUUUAAUAUCUGAUACGCCCCCGACUCGGGGGCAACGUAUUAAACGCAUUUUUAGAACAGGGAGCUGAAUAAGGGGCUCGCCCCGUUCGCUCCACGCAUCGACCUGGUAUUGCAGCGCCUCCGGGAACGGUGCCCCCUUU